AGGAUUCCCCUAGUAACUGCGAGUGAAGCGGGAAAAGCUCAAAUUUAAAAUCUGGCAGCCUUCGGUUGUCCGAGUUGUAGUCUGGAGAAGUGCUUUCCGCGCUGGACCGUGUACAAGUCUCUUGGAACAGAGCGUCAUAGAGGGUGAGAAUCCCGUCUUUGACACGGACUACCAGUGCUUUGUGAUGCGCUCUCAAAGAGUCGAGUUGUUUGGGAAUGCAGCUCAAAAUGGGUGGUAAAUUCCAUCUAAAGCUAAAUAUUGGCGAGAGACCGAUAGCGAACAAGUACCGUGAGGGAAAGAUGAAAAGCACUUUGGAAAGAGAGUUAAACAGUACGUGAAAUUGCUGAAAGGGAAACACUUGAAGUCAGUCGCGUCUUCUAGAACUCAGCCUUGCUUUUUGCUCGGUGCACUUUCUAGUUUGACGGGCCAGCAUCGAUUUUGACUGUUGGAUAAAGGGUAGAGGAAUGUGGCAUCUUCGGAUGUGUUAUAGCCUCUGCUCACAUACAAUGGUUGGGAUCGAGGAACUCAGCACGCCUUUAUGGUCGGGGUUCGCCCACGUUCGUGCUUAGGAUGCUGGCGUAAUGGCUUUAAAUGACCCGUCUUGAAACACGGACCAAGGAGUCUAACAUGCCUGCGAGUAUUUGGGUGGUAAACCCGAGUGCGCAAUGAAAGUGAAAGUUGAGACCUCUGUCGUGGAGGGCAUCGACGCCCGGAUCAGACCUUCUGUGACGAUUCCGCGGUAGAGCAUGUAUGUUGGGACCCGAAAGAUGGUGAACUAUGCCUGAAUAGGGUGAAGCCAGAGGAAACUCUGGUGGAGGCUCGUAGCGAUUCUGACGUGCAAAUCGAUCGUCAAAUUUGGGUAUAGGGGCGAAAGACUAAUCG
rnacentral:rRNA from 1 species